rnacentral:rRNA from 1 species
CCUGCCCAAUGGUUGUAUCUAAAAACGGUUGAUAAAAGUCGACUUCAUAAGGACAAUUGAAUGGCCGCGGUAACACUGACCGUGAUAAUGUAGCGUAAUCAAUAGCCAAUUAAUUGUUGGCCAGUAUGAAUGGCGUCACGAAGGCCCCACUGUCUUAAGAGAAUUCCCAGUGAAAUUGAAUUCGUAGUGAAGAUGCUACGUCCAAUUUGUUAGACGAAAAGACCCCAUUGAGCUUUACUGGAGACUUUCAUUGCUCGGAUCGACUCUCGCCCCCCCCCUGUAGGGGGGGGGGGGGUCUAAUUUAAAUGGAUAGCUUAGAUUAUGUGGUGUCAUAACCAUCGAUCAAGUAGUCCCUACGGGAUUGCCCCGAAGGUUGACCUGUUUGGGUGAAUGAAACCCCACUCUUUUAUGUUAAAUGAGCUAACCCUUUCUUUCUUAAGGGGGACAAUGUAAGUUGGACAGUUUGGUUGGGGCGACCGCCUUUUAAAGAGUAACGAAGGUGUGCUUAAGGUACACAAUUAAUAUCAGUAGCCUGACUGCGAGGGGGAUUACCCCGAGCAGACACCUAAAGUCUUCUCUCUUCCCCCCGAAGGUUAAAGACGAAUGGUGG